GCCAAUGAUGACAUCCAUUGUUCAGCAAGAUUCGCAGCGCCCUAGCUGCGAGUCUUGCUGAACAAUGGAUGUGAUCAUUGGC